CAGUCGCCGCGGGAAUACGAAGGGUGCAAGCGUUACUCGGAAUUACUGGGCGUAAAGCGUGCGUAGGUGGUGGUUUAAGUCCGUUGUGAAAGCCCUGGGCUCAACCUGGGAAUUGCAGUGGAUACUGGGUCACUAGAGUGUGGUAGAGGAUAGUGGAAUUUCCGGUGUAGCAGUGAAAUGCGUAGAGAUCGGAAGGAACAUCUGUGGCGAAGGCGACUAUCUGGGCCAACACUGACACUGAGGCACGAAAGCGUGGGGAGCAAACAGGAUUAGAUACCCCCGUAGUCCCUGUCUCUUAUAA
rnacentral:rRNA from 1 species